rnacentral:rRNA from 1 species
GGUGAACGCUGGCGGCGUGCUUAAGACAUGCAAGUCGAACGCAGUCUUCGGACUGAGUGGCGCACGGGUGAGUAACACGUAACUGACCUCCCCCCAAGUCGCGGAUAACUGGCCGAAAGGUCAGCUAAUACGUGAUGGGAUGUACCCUUUCUGGGGGGCCAUUAAAGGUUUACUGCUUGGGGAUGGGGUAGCGUUCCAUCAGUUAGUUGACGGGGGAAAGGCCCACCAAGGCAACGACGGAUAGCCGGCCUGAGAGGGUGGCCGGCCACAGGGGCACUGAGACACGGGUCCCACUCCUACGGGAGGCAGCAGUUAGGAAUCUUCCACAAUGGGCGAAAGCCUGAUGGAGCGACGCCGCGUGAGGGAUGAAGGUUCUCGGAUCGUAAACCUCUGAAUCAGGGACGAAAGACGCGUAAGCGGGAUGACGGUACCUGAGUAAUAGCACCGGCUAACUCCGUGCCAGCCGCCGCAGUAA